rnacentral:rRNA from 1 species
AUUGAACGCUGGCGGCAUGCCUUACACAUGCAAGUCGAGCGGCAGCGCGGGGGCAACCCUGGCGGCGAGCGGCGCACGGGUGAGUAAUACAUCGGAACGUGUCCUUUCGUGGGGGAUAACCAGUCGAAAGACUGGCUAAUACCGCAUGAGAUCUCACGAUGAAAGCGGGGGACCCGAGGGUAACUUCGGGCCUCGCGCGAUUGGAGCGGCCGAUGUCGGAUUAGCAGUUGGCGGGGUAAAGCCCACCAAGGCGACGAUCCGUAGCUGGUUUGAGAGAACGACCAGCCACACUGGGACUGAGACACGGCCCAGACUCCUACGGGAGGCAGCAGUGGGGAAUAUUGGACAAUGGGCGCAAGCCUGAUCCAGCGAUGCCGCGUGUGUGAAGAAGGCCUGCGGGUUGUAAAGCACUUUCAGUAGGGAAGAAAAGACCGAGUGCUAAUAUCACUCGGUCUUG